rnacentral:rRNA from 1 species
GACGAACGCUGGCGGCGUGCCUAAUACAUGCAAGUUGAGCGCUGAAGGUUGGUACUUGUACCAACUGGAUGAGCAGCGAACGGGUGAGUAACGCGUGGGGAAUCUGCCUUUGAGCGGGGGACAACAUUUGGAAACGAAUGCUAAUACCGCAUAAAAACUUUAAACCCAAGUUUUAAGUUUGAAAGAUGCAAUUGCAUCACUCAAAGAUGAUCCCGCGUUGUAUUAGCUAGUUGGUGAGGUAAAGGCUCACCAAGGCGAUGAUACAUAGCCGACCUGAGAGGGUGAUCGGCCACAUUGGGACUGAGACACGGCCCAAACUCCUACGGGAGGCAGCAGUAGGGAAUCUUCGGCAAUGGACGAAAGUCUGACCGAGCAACGCCGCGUGAGUGAAGAAGGUUUUCGGAUCGUAAAACUCUGUUGGUAGAGAAGAACGUUGGUGAGAGUGGAAAGCUCAUCAAGUGACGGUAACUACCCAGAAAGGGACGGCUAACUACGUG